GAUGAACGCUGGCGGCGUGCCUAAUACAUGCAAGUCGAGCGAACGGACGAGAAGCUGGCUUCUCUGAUGUUAUCGGCGGACGGGUGAGUAACACGUGGAUAACCUACCUAUAAGACUGGGAUAACUUCGGGAAACCGGAGCUAAUACCGGAUGAUAUUUUGAACCGCAUGGUUCAAAAGUGAAAGACGGUAUUGCUGUCACUUAUAGAUGGAUCCGCGCUGCAUUAGCUAGUUGGUAAGGUAACGGCUUACCAAGGCAACGAUGCAUAGCCGACCUGAGAGGGUGAUUGGCCACCCGGGAACUGAGAAACAGCACAGACUCUUACGGGAGGAAGCAGUAGGGACUCCUACGCGAUGGGGGAAAGCCUGACGGAGCAAAGCCGCGUGAGUCAUGAAGGUCCUAGGAUCGUAAAACGCUGUUAUUAGGGAAGAACAUAUGUGUAAGUAACUGUGCACAUCUUGACGGUACCUAAUCAGAAAGCCACGGCUAACUACGUG
rnacentral:rRNA from 1 species